ACCAGGUUGAAUGGUUACAUCUCACAUUGAGGGUGGAUUUUCUUCUCUCAGUCCACUGACUCAAAUGUCCAUCUCCUCUGGCAACACCCUUACAGACACACCCAAACACAAUACUUUACCAGCUAUCUAGACAUCCUUACAUCCAAUCAAGUUGACACCUA